rnacentral:rRNA from 1 species
GGAUAGAGGCCUACCAUGGUGGUAACGGGUAACGGGGUGUUAGGGCACGACACCGGAGAGGGAGCCUGAGAAACGGCUACCACAUCCAAGGAUGGCAGCAGGCGCGCAAAUUACCCAAUCCCGACACGGGGAGGUAGUGACAAUAAAUAACAAUACGGGGUUCUUUCGGAUCUCGUAAUUGGAAUGAGUACAAUUUAAAUCUCUUAACGAGGAACAAUUGGAGGGCAAGUCUGGUGCCAGCAGCCGCGGUAAUUCCAGCUCCAAUAGCGUAUAUUAAAGUUGUUGCAGUUAAAAAGCUCGUAGUUGAAUUUCGGGAUCGAAUUGUCGGUCGUGCUUCGGUACGCACUGGCAUUAUCGGUUUCUACCUUCUGAAGAACCGCGAUGUCAUUAAUUAGGUGUCGUGGGGAAUCAGGACUGUUACUUUGAAAAAAUUAGGGUGUUUAAAGCAGGCGUACGCUUGAAUACAUUAGCAUGGAAUAAUGAAAUAGGACGUUUGAUUCUAUUUUGUUGGUUUCUAGGAUCGACGUAAUGAUUAAUAGGGAUAGUUGGGGGCAUUAGUAUUCAAUUGUCAGAGGUGAAAUUCUUGGAUUUAUUGAAGACUAACUACUGCGAAAGCAUUUGCCAAGGAUGUUUUCAUUAAUCAAGAACGAAAGUUAGGGGAUCGAAGACGAUCAGAUACCGUCGUAGUCUUAACCAUAAACUAUGCCGACUAGGGGUCGGAUGAUGUUAAUUUUUUAAUGACUCAUUCGGCGCCUUACGGGAAACC